GCGUUGUCAUUCUGCUGUGCACCUGGGAGGGUUUUUCUCAGAGAGUUUGGCACGCCUGGUUUGUGCUGGGAAUCUGUUCACACAGACAGGUUAUGGAGUCCUUCAGCCUUGGGGGAUGUUUGCACUCACGGCCAGCGGGCUCUGAUGUGCGGGACGGAGCCUCUGCUCCAUGCAGCGUGGAAAAUCAUUUAAGAAUAUUUCAUGUGAUCUUCAAGGCAAUGCAUAAAAAGGUAAUUGGAAGAAUGGAUGAAAACUCUUUUUCCAUUAUCUGCCUCCAUCUUAUUUUUGAGUCUACUGGUUGCCUCCUUGUACGGAAGAGCAUGUCUUUCAUUUAUGAAGGCUGUCAGGCAGAACUCGGUGGCACACAGCCCUAAUCCCAGCAUUCUGGGAAACUGAGGCAGGAGGAUACCAUGAUCAAGCCACACCUGGGCAAUCUAAAAAUUUAGCAAGACUCUCUUUCAAAAUUAAUUGUUUUCUAAAUUCUGAGAAUGGUACUUACUGUGAACAUCCUGGGUUUAAUCUUCAGUGCCACAAAAGUUAUCAAGGAUAACAGCAACAACAACUAUAGCUCGGGUGGUUCGUGACCGUGACACCGUGUGGAGAAGCCUAUCCACGCACCUCACUGCAGUGUCACCGGCUCGCCUGAGAGCACUGAGGCUGCCAGGAAGGCCGGAGGCACAUCCCCUGGG
rnacentral:lncRNA from 1 species